rnacentral:rRNA from 1 species
AGCGAACGCUGGCGGCAGGCUUAACACAUGCAAGUCGAGCGGGCACUUCGGUGUCAGCGGCAGGCGGGUGAGUAACACGUGGGAACGUACCCUUUGGUUCGGAAUAACGCUGGGAAACUAGCGCUAAUACCGGAUACGCCCUUUUGGGGAAAGGCUUGCUGCCGAAGGAUCGGCCCGCGUCUGAUUAGCUAGUUGGUGGGGUAAUGGCCUACCAAGGCGACGAUCAGUAGCUGGUCUGACAGGAUGAUCAGCCACACUGGGACUGAGACACGGCCCAGACUCCUACGGGAGGCAGCAGUGGGGAAUAUUGGACAAUGGGCGCAAGCCUGAUCCAGCCAUGCCGCGUGAGUGAUGAAGGCCUUAGGGUUGUAAAGCUCUUUUGUCCGGGACGAUAAUGACGGUACCGGAAGAAUAAGCCCCGGCUAACUUCGUG